UUACGGCAAUAUGGCGUUGAAAAAACGGUUCCCAUACGAUCACAGAAGUUAAGCAACAUCGAGUCUGGUUAGUCGUUAGAUGGGUGACAGUUUAGGAGUACCAGGUAU